CAACUCUCCACCACCACCAUUAUUACAUGUGCGAUUUUCUACGUGUCGCAACAACUCCACUUUCAACCAAACUCACCAAAAUCAUCCCCAGGCUCUGAUACCAAUUUAUUGUGUACCGCAGAAGCGUGUAAACUGUAAAGAAAUAAAGCAAACACACAAAAUACUAAUAUUUACGUGGUUCACCCUCUCAACAUAGGGCUACAUCCAUGGGUAUGCCAUCUUCCACUAUCAAUAAUAAAUAAAUCAUUAUUACAAGCUCAUAGCUAUACUACCCAUCAACCCA
rnacentral:misc_RNA from 1 species